CACAUGCAAGUCGAACGGGGCAUAGAGAUAUGCCUAGUGGCGGACGGGUGAGUAACACGUGAGCAAUCUAUCCUAUACAACGGGAUAACACAGAGAAAUUUGUGCUAAUACGGUAUAAGACCACAUUCCGGCAUCGGAGAGGGGUAAAAGCUGAGGCGGUAUAGGAGGAGCUCGCGGCCCAUUAGCUAGUUGGAGAGGUAACGGCUCACCAAGGCGACGAUGGGUAGCCGAUCUGAGAGGAUGAACGGCCACAUUGGAACUGAGAAACGGUCCAAACUCCUACGGGAGGCAGCAGUGGGGAAUAUUGGGCAAUGGAGGCAACUCUGACCCAGCAACGCCGCGUGAAUGAAGAAGGUCUUCGGAUUGUAAAGUUCUUUAGCGAGGGACGAAAAGAAUGACGGUACCUCGAGAAUAAGCCACGACUAACUACGUGCCAGCAGUCGCGGUAAUACGUAGGUGGCGAGCGUUGUCCGGAAUGACUGGGCGUAAAGGGAGCGUAGGCGGCACAACAAGUUAGGAGUGAAAUACCGUGGCUUAACCACGGAACUGCUUUUAAAACUGUUGAGCUAGAGUGAUGGAGAGGAAAGCGGAAUUCCUAGUGUAGCGGUGGAAUGCGUAGAUAUUAGGAGGAACACCAGAGGCGAAGGCGGCUUUCUGGACAUUAACUGACGCUGAGGCUCGA
rnacentral:rRNA from 1 species